GAUGAACGCUGGCGGCGUGCCUAAUACAUGCAAGUCGAGCGAACGGACGAGAAGCUUGCUUCUCUGAUGUUAGCGGCGGACGGGUGAGUAACACGUGGAUAACCUACCUAUAAGACUGGGAUAACUUCGGGAAACCGGAGCUAAUACCGGAUAAUAUUUUUAACCGCAUGGGUCAAAAGUGAAAGACGGUCUUGCUGUCACUUAUAGAUAGAUCCGCGCUGCAUUAGCUAGUUGGUAAGGUAACGGCUUACCGAGGCAACGAUGCAUAGCCGACCUGAGAGGGUGAUCGGCCACACUGGAACUGAGACACGGUCCAGACUCCUACGGGAGGCAGCAGUAGGGAAUCUUCCGCAAUGGACGAAAGCCUGACGGAGCAACGCCGCGUGAGUGAUGAAGGUCUUCGGAUCGUAAAACUCUGUUAUUAGGGAAGAACAUAUGUGUAAGUAACUGUGCACAUCUUGACGGUACCUAAUCAGAAAGCCACGGCUAACUACGUG
rnacentral:rRNA from 1 species